rnacentral:lncRNA from 10 species
AUUUUAGUUCAUCUUAGCGUUCAACUUAAAAACAGAUAUCCUUCCAAUGACAUUAUUCUUAUUUCUGCUAUUGAGUACAUUUGUACCUUUUACUCAUGUACUUAAACCUUUGCUGUUCUUCCACUUAAUUUUUUUAUCAUGAGAUAGAAUACACCCACAGAAAAAUGCACAAAACAUAAAUAUCCAUUAAUUUACAAGUUAAUUAUGAAGCAAAUAUUUGUGUAGCUACCACUCGAUCAAUAAAUGCUUAUGGCCGGCACCUUAAAGGGACUGUCCCACCCAUGCCCCCACCUCGACUUCCCCCCAAAAAGUGACCACUCUUCUGAUCUUCAAGGUUAUAAUGUUGUUGCUUUUCUUUAUGGUUUAUAUCCGUGGUCCCCAGCCUUUUUGGCACCAGGGACAGGUUUUGUGGAAGACAAUGUUUUCACAGACCGAUGGUGGGGGGGCGUGGUUUUGGGAUGAAACAGUUCCACCUCAGGCCGUCAGCAUUAGUUAGAUGCUCAUAAGGAGUCUGUGACCUGGAUUCCUCGCGUGUGCAGUUCACAGUAGGGUUUGCGCUCCUGUGAGGGUCUAAUGCAGCCGCUGCUCUGACAGGAGGGGCAGCUCAGGCCGUGACGCUCGCCCGGCCGCCGCUCACUCCUGCUGUGUGGCCUGGUCCAUGGCGCGGCACCAGCCCGCUUCCCCGGGAAUUGGGACCCUGGUACACACUGUGUGUGCAUUUCUUAAAUAAUAUGGUUUAUUUGGCUUGGUUUUGAAUUUAAAUAAGGGGAAAAUACCAUGUAUAUUCUUGUGUCUUGCUUCUUUCACUGAACAUUAGGCUUGUGAAAUUUCUGUUGUGUUCAGCUGCUGAAUGGCAUUUGAAAAUAACAUGCACAAUUCAUGUAUCUGCUAUUCUCACUCACUGGGUUCUUUCCACAUUUGAAUGAGCUGCCGUGAGCAUGUCUGUGUGUGUGAGUAGGGCUUUUCCUACCCAAGUAGUCAGACGUCAGGGUCUUAGGGAAGUGCAUCUUCAGCUUUGCUGGAAGAUGCCAGACGGUCCCCUCCACAGUGGUGGCAGGUCCUCACCGCAGACGGUCCCCUCCACAGUGGUGGCAGGUCCUCACCGCAGACGGUCCCCCUCCACAGUGGUGGCAGGUCCUCACCGCAGACGGUCCCCUCCACAGUGGUGGCAGGUCCUCACCGCAGACGGUCCCCUCAACAGUGGUGGCAGGUCUUCACUGCAGACGGUCCCCCUCCACAGUGGUAACAGGUCCUCAUCGCAGCCAGCAGUGCAUGGGAGCUCUUGUUCUGCCUAAUUAAGUACACUUGGAAUUGUCAGCAUUUUUUAUUUUUCCUUCUCCGCUGCAUAACUAAUUGCAUUUCUCUGAUGGCUGACGAGGUUGUUGGUCCACUGGAAAUCCUCUUGUCUGAAUGGCCUGUUCAAGGCCCUUGCCUGUUUUGCUGUUGGAUUGUCUAUCGUUUUCUUACUUAUUUGUAGGAAUUGCUUUAUGUGAGUUUAAAAUAUGUUCUUGGGGCUGAGCAUGGUGGCUCAAGCCUGUAAUCCCAACUCUUUGGGAGGCUGAGGCGAGAGGAUCAGUUGAAGCCGGGAGUUUGAGGCUGCAGUGAGCUAUGAUUGUGCCGUUGCACUCCAGCCUGGGCAAUAAAGCGGGACUGUAUUAGUCUAUGCAUCAAUCAAUGCAAACAAACAAACGGAAAGUGUGUUCUUUACUGCAGGAUGACGUCAUGAUGCCCCAGCGGGUGAGGCUGCAACACGAGGCUGCCGUUCAGCACCCGUCGAGCGUAAGUACUGGCCUCCUUAGUGUCGUUACUACCUUUAGUGAAAUUACCACUGUGGUUUUUUAAAUAAAGAGUUUUCCUAGGGGUGGAAAGAAUCAGGCUAUGGUGAGACUGUCAAGUCACGGAGAGGGAUCUGUGGCUGGCAUGUCUCUGAGCCCUGGAGGGUGUUUUCCUUUGGAGAAAAACAUGCCCCUGAUUUUUCUCCUGUUAUUUUCGUAGGGUGCAAAGGUGGUUGUGUUGUUUGUUUUUAAUCAGCGUUUUAGAAGCUGAGCGCCUUAGACAUGAAAACACAGGCUGAGAGCUAUACCGUGUUCACAGUUAAACGUUUUUCUUAUUUAGACGAUCUUAAAUUACGGUUUUUAUCUUUAGAACGGCUUCUCAGUUGCCCCUCCAAAGCCAGGCUUCCUGGGGCCCCUCCUCAGCCCAGCAGUGCCCCGUGGGCUCCUCCGCCCAGUGGGGAGGAAGCACAGCAGUGCCCCGUGGGCUCCUCCAUCCCCCACCGCAGAUGGUGGGGACACAUGGCCCAGGGAUCCCUGGAGCUGGUGUCUCAGCCACCGCGAGGCUCCUGCUGGCUUCAGGGAAGGUGACUGUGUCCUCAGAGAUCUCGCUCAAGUUUUAGAAGACUUUGAAUCACAGCGGUGAUCACUUGGGUUUUAACACUGAGGGAUCCAUAACUGUCCAGCGCCCACAGUGUCCGUCCCCCGGGCAGUUUGGCGCUCACCCUGGACAGGCCCCUCUGCCCUCCCCCCGCGGGGCUGUGCGUCGUGGGCACGUGUGCGGUUGGGUCACCACACGGUUCAGUCACGGCCGGCUCUGGUCACAUCCUGGUCAGGUCACAGACGGGCCUGGUCACGGCAGGGUCUGGCCCACACGGCGCUGGGAGCCCAGCUCCCCACAGAGUGGGUGCUCGUGACAGUUCACCCUGUGGGGGGUCGGGCAGGGGGGCAAGGGCAGGACGGGUGUGCUGGGGGCGUCUGAAGGGGAGGGCCUGGGUGUUGGAA